UGGGGAAUAUUGGACAAUGGGGGCAACCCUGAUCCAGCAAUGCCGCGUGUGUGAUGAAGGCCCUAGGGUUGUAAAGCACUUUCACUGGUGAAGAUGAUGACGGUAGCCAGAGAAGAAGCCCCGGCUAACUUCGUGCCAGCAGCCGCGGUAAUACGAAGGGGGCGAGCGUUAUUCGGAAUUACUGGGCGUAAAGGGAGCGCAGGCGGUUCAUUUAGUCAGACGUGAAAGCCCCGGGCUCAACCCGGGAGGUGCGUUUGAUACUGGUGAGCUAGAAAUCAGAAGAGGAUAGUGGAAUUCCCAGUGUAGAGGUGAAAUUCGUAGAUAUUGGGAAGAACACCAGUGGCGAAAGCGGCUAUCUGGUCUGUAUUUGACGCUGAGGCUCGAAAGCGUGGGGAGCAAACAGG
rnacentral:rRNA from 1 species